AUAAUGCAGUCGAGCGACUGAUUAGAAGCUUGCUUCUAUGACGUUAGCGGCGGAGGGGAGUGGCACGUGGGCAACCUGCCUGUAAGACUGGGAUAACUUCGUGGAAACCGAAGCUAAUACCGGAUAGGAUCUUCUCCUUCAUGGGAGAUGAUUGAAAGAUGGUUUCGGCUAUCACUUACAGAUGGGCCCGCGGUGCAUUAGCUAGUUGGUGAGGUAACGGCUCACCAAGGCAACGAUGCAUAGCCGACCUGAGAGGGUGAUCGGCCACACUGGGACUGAGACACGGCCCAGACUCCUACGGGAGGCAGCAGUAGGGAAUCUUCCGCAAUGGACGAAAGUCUGACGGAGCAACGCCGCGUGAGUGAUGAAGGCUUUCGGGUCGUAAAACUCUGUUGUUAGGGAAGAACAAGUACAAGAGUAACUGCUUGUACCUUGACGGUACCUAACCAGAAAGCCACGGCUAACUACGUGCCAGCAGCCGCGGUAAUACGUAGGUGGCAAGCGUUAUCCGGAAUUAUUGGGCGUAAAGCGCGCGCAGGCGGUUUCUUAAGUCUGAUGUGAAAGCCCACGGCUCAACCGUGGAGGGUCAUUGGAAACUGGGGAACUUGAGUGCAGAAGAGAAAAGCGGAAUUCCACGUGUAGCGGUGAAAUGCGUAGAGAUGUGGAGGAACACCAGUGGCGAAGGCGGCUUUUUGGUCUGUAACUGACGCUGAGGCGCGAAAGCGUGGGG
rnacentral:rRNA from 2 species